rnacentral:rRNA from 1 species
AACGAACGCAGGCGGCAUGCCUAACACAUGCAAGUCGAACGAGACCUUCGGGUCUAGUGGCGCACGGGUGCGUAACGCGUGGGAACCUGCCCUUAGGUUCGGAAUAACUCCCCGAAAGGGGUGCUAAUACCGGAUAAUGUCUUCGGACCAAAGAUUUAUCGCCUUUGGAUGGGCCCGCGUUGGAUUAGCUAGUUGGUAGGGUAAAAGCCUACCAAGGCGACGAUCCAUAGCUGGUCUGAGAGGAUGAUCAGCCACACUGGGACUGAGACACGGCCCAGACUCCUACGGGAAGCAGCAGUGGGGAAUAUUGGACAAUGGGCGAAAGCCUGAUCCAGCAAUGCCGCGUGAGUGAUGAAGGCCUUAGGGUUGUAAAGCUCUUUUACCCGGGAUGAUAAUGACAGUACCGGGAGAAUAAGCUCCGGCUAACUCCGUG